rnacentral:misc_RNA from 1 species
GCCAUUUUGAGAAGAAUUCGUGAAGAUACGAGAAAAAAGCUAUCAGCUAAAGGCUAUUUCCCACAGGAGGGAUACAUCCUGCAAUACUUACCAGUACCUCCUAACUGUUUGUCUGUUCCUGAUAUAUCUGAUGGGAAUAACAUCAUGUCUUCGGAUCACUCUAUAACAAUGCUCAGGAAGGUGCUGAGGCAGAUUGACAUAAUUAAAAGUUCAAGAUCUG